AUGGCAGCGGGUGGAGCUAUUACAAACAAGACACUUGAUGAUGCUUUUCUGCUGAUUGAGAACAUAGCCUUCCACCAACUUCAGUGGUACAAUGAGAAGCCCACCUCUGGCCCCGUUGCUUGCUUGCAACAAAUCACUUCAUCUCAGCAAGAAUCUCUUACACAAAAUCUGGAACCAGUUUCUCCGUGUGACAAGAUUGAGCUUUCAUGUAUUAUCUUUGAUGAUGAUGAUGACACCAUCCUAGUUGACACACACACUUCAGAUCAUAUGGAUACUCGCAUUCUAGAUUCAGUUUUGCAUUGUGAUGAUUCUUGUGGGGAUGAACCAGAGCUACAGUUAGUUACUUUUGAUAUUGAGGAGAUACCUUUAGUUGAUAUUGAUCAUGUGCUGGUAGAGCCAGAUAUGGAAAAGUUCACCUUUGAUGAUGUUAGCCACAUCGAUUCUUUAACGCUUGAGCCUGAGAUGGAAAUCUUCAUUGUUGAUUAUGAUGAGGUCACUUCAGAUGUCAAGGAGCAAAGCCCUACUAUUUCACCUGUCGAUACGAGCCCGGUGGAAGUUUCUACUACCAUGCCUUCCAUGGUAUCUUCAGUUGAGGUAGUCAUAAAACUUCUCCAAGGCCAUUUCAGGUUGAUGCUUGUGCACCAUUUACUGCGAGUUGACCGAGUUCGAGAUGACAUUCCCUGGGAUCCUGGUGGAUUCAAGGCAUGGUGA
rnacentral:rRNA from 1 species